GAUGAACGCUGGCGGCGUGCCUAAUACAUGCAAGUCGAGCGAAUGGAUUAAGAGCUUGCUCUUAUGGAGUUAGCGGCGGACGGGUGAGUAACACGUGGGUAACCUGCCCAUAAGACUGGGAUAACUCCGGGAAACCGGGGCUAAUACCGGAUAACAUUUUGAACCGCAUGGUUCGAAAUUGAAAGGCGGCUUCGGCUGUCACUUAUGGAUGGACCCGCGUCGCAUUAGCGAGUUGGUGAGGUAACGGCUCACCAAGGCAACGAGGCGUAGCCGACCUGAGAGGGUAGGCGGCCACACUGGGACUGAGCCACGGCCCAGACUCCUACGGGAGGCAGCAGUAGGGAAUCUUCCGCAAUGGACGAAAGUCUGACGGAGCAACGCCGCGUGAGUGAUGAAGGCUUUCGGGUCGUAAAACUCUGUUGUUAGGGAAGAACAAGUGCUAGUUGAAUAAGCUGGCACCUUGACGGUACCUAACCAGAAAGCCACGGCUAACUACGUGCCAGCCGCCGCGGUAA
rnacentral:rRNA from 1 species